AAGGAUGGCAGAGUGGUCUAUUGCAGCACCUUAAUAACGUGACAUGGGUAAAACCAUCGGGGGUUCGAAUCCCCCUCCUU
rnacentral:tRNA from 1 species